UACAGAGGUCUCAAGCGUUGUUCGGAUUCAUUGGGCGUAAAGGGCGCGUAGGUGGUUUGCCAAGUCGGGGUUGAAAUCUUUCGGCUCAACCGGAAAAGUGGCUUCGAUACUGGCAAGCUGGAGGGAGGUAGGGGCGGAUGGAACUUCCGGUGGAGCGGUGAAAUGUGUUGAUAUCGGAAGGAACGCCGGUGGCGAAAGCGAUCCGCUGGACCUCUUCUGACACUGAGGCGCGAAAGCCAGGGGAGCAAACGGG
rnacentral:rRNA from 1 species